GUGUGAACAUAAAUGCUGUAUUGUGACUUUUUAACAAAUAUCUGCACGGUAAAACAGAUAAAGACAGGGCGAAUCCGUUAUACAUUUGUAAAUUAGGUCUCAACCGGGUAUAUACCGUGCAAUUCCCAACUUAAGGCUAAUGAACUCUAAGCCGAGAAAGUCGCUGUGUAUACCCUGUCUGAGACCUGAAAAACAUAUUACAUUACGGAUACCCAAUGUGUCAAAAAACAACACAGAAAUGUCAGUAUAAAAUCCGGAAAUUGCUGGGGAGUAUUCGGCGGUUUUACCCAAAUAGAACCAAAAAAUCCGUACUAAUUAAACAAAUCUGUUACUAUAUUUCAUAGUGUUAAGCUCUGAGCUACAAACAACAUUUCAAGAAUGUCAGAGGCUAAAAUAGGGAAAUCAAUAUCCAUCAAUUAUACAUUUUAAAUAUAAAACCAUGAAAUAUAUACA
rnacentral:lncRNA from 1 species